rnacentral:rRNA from 1 species
AGGCUUAACACAUGCAAGUCGAGGGGCAUCAGGAAGAAAGCUUGCUUUCUUUGCUGGCGACCGGCGCACGGGUGAGUAACACGUAUCCAACCUGCCCUUUACUCGGGGAUAGCCUUUCGAAAGAAAGAUUAAUACCCGAUAGCAUAAUGAUUCCGCAUGGUUUCAUUAUUAAAGGAUUCCGGUAAAGGAUGGGGAUGCGUUCCAUUAGGUUGUUGGUGAGGUAACGGCCCACCAAGCCUUCGAUGGAUAGGGGUUCUGAGAGGAAGGUCCCCCACAUUGGAACUGAGACACGGUCCAAACUCCUACGGGAGGCAGCAGUGAGGAAUAUUGGUCAAUGGGCGCUAGCCUGAACCAGCCAAGUAGCGUGAAGGAUGAAGGCUCUAUGGGUCGUAAACUUCUUUUAUAUAAGAAUAAAGUGCAGUAUGUAUACUGUUUUGUAUGUAUUAUAUGAAUAAGGAUCGGCUAACUCCGUGCCAGCAGCCGCGGUAAUACGGAGGAUCCGAGCGUUAUCCGGAUUUAUUGGGUUUAAAGGGAGCGUAGGUGGACUGGUAAGUCAGUUGUGAAAGUUUGCGGCUCAACCGUAAAAUUGCAGUUGAUACUGUCAGUCUUGAGUACAGUAGAGGUGGGCGGAAUUCGUGGUGUAGCGGUGAAAUGCUUAGAUAUCACGAAGAACUCCGAUUGCGAAGGCAGCUCACUGGACUGCAACUGACACUGAUGCUCGAAAGUGUGGGUAUCAAACAGGAUUAGAUACCCUGGUAGUCCACACAGUAAACGAUGAAUACUCGCUGUUUGCGAUAUACAGUAAGCGGCCAAGCGAAAGCAUUAAGUAUUCCACCUGGGGAGUACGCCGGCAACGGUGAAACUCAAAGGAAUUGACGGGGGCCCGCACAAGCGGAGGAACAUGUGGUUUAAUUCGAUGAUACGCGAGGAACCUUACCCGGGCUUAAAUUGCAGUGGAAUGAUGUGGAAACAUGUCAGUGAGCAAUCACCGCUGUGAAGGUGCUGCAUGGUUGUCGUCAGCUCGUGCCGUGAGGUGUCGGCUUAAGUGCCAUAACGAGCGCAACCCUUAUCUUUAGUUACUAACAGGUUAUGCUGAGGACUCUAGAGAGACUGCCGUCGUAAGAUGUGAGGAAGGUGGGGAUGACGUCAAAUCAGCACGGCCCUUACGUCCGGGGCUACACACGUGUUACAAUGGGGGGUACAGAAGGCAGCUAGCGGGUGACCGUAUGCUAAUCCCAAAAUCCUCUCUCAGUUCGGAUCGAAGUCUGCAACCCGACUUCGUGAAGCUGGAUUCGCUAGUAAUCGCGCAUCAGCCACGGCGCGGUGAAUACGUUCCCGGGCCUUGUACACACCGCCCGUCAAGCCAUGGGAGCCGGGGGUACCUGAAGUACGUAACCGCAAGGAUCGUCCUAGGGUAAAACUGGUGACUGGGGCUAAGUC